CCUCCCGGACCCGCCCCGGGCCUCCCGGACCCGCCCCGGGCCUCCCGGACCCGCCCCGGGCCUCCCGGACCCGCCCCGGGCCCGCCCCUCGCGUCAGGCCCGAGGGGCGGUGCGGGAGGGGAGCGCGUUCCCCGCUGGGCGGCGGAGGGAGCUCGGCCCUCCCCGCCAGGAAAUAAGGGUUGAACUUACGCCAGGCCCUGGAAUGGGCUGUGAGGAGACCCCGCCCAGAUCCCGAGAGCUUGUGCGGGGCUUGGGCGGGGAAGAAAAGCCUGCGGGAGCUCCGGUGCCCUGGGAGCUGCAGCAGAGUGCAGAGAGAAAGGGAGCCGUGGUGGGGCGGCGGCUGAGCCCGGGAUUAGACUGCACCUGCCUGAGGAGGGAGUAGAAAAGAAAGAAAGGAAGGAGGGAGGGGAAUGCUCUCUAGGUGAGACAACGGACAGCUAGCAUCUGAUUGGAAAAUACCUGUUGAAAUGCUGCCAGGGAACAGCUUUGCCGUGAAAGGAUUCCUCCCGCGGCGCUUCCACCGGGGAAGGACCGCGCGGCGGCUCUCGCUCCCGUUCCUUGCCUGUUGCCGGCCGUUGGCGGCAGCUCCGCUCCCUGUGCCAGCCCCGGAGAUAGCGGCCUCCCUGGUGUCAUACCCGCGGCUGCUGUCGCUGGAGAAGCCUGUUACCAGCCUUAUAAAAGGUCACCAGCGAGGUCUCUACACGGUGUCGCUGGCGCGUGGCGCCCAAAGAUGCCGAAGUCUGUAGGUUUGCGCUUCGGAGCAUUCCGUGCACGGGCGUUGGUGAACGGGGAGCUGCACGAGGGAGAAGGAGGACACACGUGAGAGAUUCGAUUCAUUUCGCCUUUCUCGGCUUCCCUGUUGCCUUCUGGAGCGCGUUGUCCCGCAGAGUCACCUGCAGGCAAAGCAAACCGCAGCACCGGAAUUGAAUUAUCCAUGAACAAAUGUUCGUGAUAAAGCCAAAGUCAGUAACUCCACUAUUUGGGGAACUGGCAUGAUAAUAAAAUAUUUGAAGUUCCAAAAGUCAAUAUUUUCUAAAGCAAAUGAAUCGGAAAGGCAUUCAGAUGAAGGCCUGAAUGGUUUGAUAGGAAGUUUUUUAAGUGUAUGUACCAAAUGCUGUUCCAGAAUAGAUCGUUUAACAGCAGGCUCGAUUGCUCAAGUAAUAUUCCAAUUGUUCUUUGACAAUGUUUUGAUAAACAUUGAUAAAUUGAUAAAAUUUUUAUCAGCCAGCAAGCAAAUUUUGUUAAUUUGAUUGAUAUGUAAUACUGCUGAUGUUGAUUAGGCAUUAAUAACUAACUGCAAUUAGCAAAGCUGGAGGAAACUUUGUUUCUUACCAGAGAAACUGGAAGUUCACCUUUAGAUCAGUUUCAGUUCUGCAAACUGCACCUUGGAUAGUAAUCCCUUUUUCUGAUAAAAGAUGUUGAGUCACACACAAGGCCAAAAUAAACUGUUCUUUAGAGCUUGGUAUAUGACAAUUAGAAUUACAGAAGGCAAGCCUUUAAGGAGAGAGGAGGAUUCUGAGAAGAAAUAGAGAUGGCUAAGGAUUCUGUAGUUAAGGCAAUAGGAGGAAUUUUAAUAAAAUUUCUCUAGUUGACUUUAAUAAAAUCUGCUACUUUCACUUGAUAAAAUGGAAAAGGUGUUAGGCCUGUGGAUUUCGUGUGCCUUUACUGAAUCACUGUUGUGAGAUCCUGGAUCCGAAUCUCACUGAAUUAUUGAUAUGGGUCAGAACCAACUCACUGUGAGUGUGUGUGUGCAUGUGGGGAAGGGCUGGGCCUGGACCUGCAGAUCCCUGGUAAGGCCUGUGCUGAGGGUACAAGGCAAAGCUGGAAGGCAAGGCCUGCAGCCCAUGCAGAGCACACGGCAUCACUGAAGGCCCUGCAGUCGGGCUGUCAGUCAAGGCAGACCUGACUGGUAGCCUGUCCACACUACACCCCUGCAGCCUGUGACUGGCCACAGCAAAACUCACUCUAGCCUGGAAGGCACUGACUGGAUAUCCUGCCUGGGAGGGAAAACUAAACUCUAUAAAUACUCCAUAUGGUCUCUUCCUCCCUCCCUCUGGUCUUUUCUGCAGCCUGAACCAUAAAGCCCUGCAUUGCAGUCAGUGAGCAGUGGAUCCUACGUGCACCUUUGGGAAAAGGCUUGCUAGAGUCUGGAAAUGCCUCACAGAAGCUCAGAGCCAGGAAAACAACAGUUAUUGGAAACCUAAGUAGGAGACAAGCUGAAAUACAAGGUGUACUGCAUGUUCUAGAAGUGAUAAUGAUGAUUAUACUUUGAAGUUCUGUGUUUGGAACUCUCUGAUCCUUUUUUCUGCAUCCCCACUGGUGUCUGAAUGGGUUCCUUGUUAGUUUUGUGAGCACUAUGAGAGAGCAGGUGUACUUCCUGGGUGCCCAAGUCAUUUCCUUAUACUGAGGAAGACCUAAGGCUUACUGCUGUUUUCCCUCUCUCCUCUAUGGUUGUUUGGUUUCUGCUGGAGAGAGACCUUGCAGAUGGGUGGGAAUCAAAGCACAGUUCCAUAGGUUUUGUAUCUGGGUGGUCAGGAGCAGGUGCUGUGUGUACACAGUGAAAUGUAUUUGCUCCAUACUUUAGAUCUUGCCUCUGGAAAGUAAUCUUGCAUAUUUUUCUUUCCAACUUCCACAGAAUAUAUUAUUAAUUUGGUGGCUGAUUUUUUUUCCUUUAUCCCAGUAAGAAUUUUACUAUGAAGUGCCUUAAUGUUUAGUGAUACCCAUAACAUGUUUCAAGUUUAAUGUAUUGAGGAAUACUUGACAUCCAAGUGGCUCAGCCUGCAAGCUGCAAGUUGAAAUACAAACUGGGCUCUGAGUGGGAGCACAAGAUGAGGCCGUGAACUGCCAAUGUUUGGGAUAACAAAGGACACGAAGAAGGCUUUGUCAGCAUUUUGAUAACAAAGGAGAUGAAGACAGGUGAUGCCAGCGAGGUGGAUGGACAUGGAGAUGGGAGGCAGGAGGAGAAGACAGAGAAGGAAGAGCCAGAGUGGUGUGUGGGAGAGACUGUGAGGGUAUAAAAAAAGCCCAGGUGUUCUAGGCUCAGGGCUUGUUCUUGGAGGAACCGUCUUGAGUUGUUGUUGUGUUACUGUGCCAGGAAUAAAUUGCCUUGUGGAACGUCUUAGACUCUGCUGAGGGAAACUUUGAGUUGAACUGGUAAGGAAAUAUGGUCUGUCUGUGUGUGAGUGGGGUGAGUGAGGCGUGUAGGGAGUCAAGUGGGAUGCCCAUCAGCUCUUUGGAGCCACUCACUGUGAAGGGCCUUUGGUUCCAGCAGUGAAAGUCUCUGGUUCUUGUAAGAGUGACCGCCAGUGAGUCUCAUGAAUGAUCAGACUGGGAAAUUUUAUUAACAAAUGAAGCAUUAAAAAAUGAGAAAUGAGAAA